GAUGAACGCUGGCGGCGUGCCUAAUACAUGCAAGUCGAGCGAAUCAAUAGGAGCUUGCUCCUGUUGGUUAGCGGCGGACGGGUGAGUAACACGUGGGCAACCUGCCUGUAAGACUGGGAUAACACCGGGAAACCGGUGCUAAUACCGGAUAAUCCUUUUCCUCUCAUGAGGAAAAGCUGAAAGUCGGUUUCGGCUGACACUUACAGAUGGGACCGCGGCGCAUUAGCUAGUUGGUUAGGUAACGGCUCACCAAGGCGACGAUGCGUAGCCGACCUAGGAUGGGGAUCGGCCACACUGGUACUGAGACACGGCCCAGACUCCUACGGGAGGCAGCAGUAGGGAAUCUUCCACAAUGGACGAAAGUCUGAUGGAGCAACGCCGCGUGAGCGAUGAAGGCCUUCGGGUCGUAAAGCUCUGUUGUUAGGGAAGAACAAGUACCGGAGUAACUGCCGGUACCUUGACGGUACCUAACCAGAAAGCCACGGCUAACUACGUGCCAGCAGCCGCCGCCGUAA
rnacentral:rRNA from 1 species